rnacentral:antisense_RNA from 1 species
AGUUAUGGCGGGCCGUGCGCGGGAGCCUUCGGGCUGCCGGGUUUCUUUGUGACCGGUCGACCAACCUGCGUACGGUUCGCCUCCAAU